CUGGCGGCGUGCUUAACACAUGCAAGUCGAACGCGAAAGGGACUUCGGUCCUGAGUAAAGUAGGCGCACGGGUGAGUAACGCGUAGAUAACCUGUCUUUAUGUCUGGAAUAAUACGCCGAAAGGGGUACUAAUACCGGAUAUUUUUGCAUUGCAUAAGCAGUGUAAGCAAAGGUGGCCUCUGACAUAAGCUACUGCAUAAAGAGGGGUCUGCGUACCAUUAGCUAGUAGGUGGGGUAAAGGCCUACCUAGGCUACGAUGGUUAGCGGGUCUGAGAGGAUGAUCCGCCACACUGGCACUGGAACACGGGCCAGACUCCUACGGGAGGCAGCAGUGAGGAAUAUUGCGCAAUGGGGGCAACCCUGACGCAGCGACGCCGCGUGAGUGAGGAAGGCCUUCGGGUCGUAAAGCUCUGUCAAAGGGAAAGAAGUGCAUGGUGGUUAAUACCUGCCAUGUUUGACGGUACCCUUAAAGGAAGCACCGGCUAACUCCGUGCCAGCCGCGGC
rnacentral:rRNA from 1 species